rnacentral:rRNA from 1 species
UAGGGGGCAAGCGUUAUCCGGAUUUACUGGGUGUAAAGGGAGCGUAGACGGUGGUGCAAGUCUGGAUUGAAAGGCAGGGUCUCAACCCCUGGACUGCUCUGGAAACUGUAUGACUGGAGUGCAGGAGAGGUAAGUGGAAUUCCUAGUGUAGCGGUGAAAUGCGUAGAUAUUAGGAGGAACACCAGUGGCGAAGGCGGCUUACUGGACUGUAACUGACGUUGAGGCUCGAAAGCGUGGGGAGCAAA